UGUGGAUUUUUAGAAAUGAUUUCACGAUAGUGGGAGCGAGUACGAGGCUCGGAGGAAUUGUGGAAUUAGUUCGAACGAUUAAUUUUCGAAAAAACGAACGUUAUUUAGGGGGUCUCAAAAAGUGACUUUUUAUACAUUGGGAAUUUGGGAAAACUUCCUUCAUGAAAGUUGUAGAGGACAUUAAACCGAGUGCGUGCAUAUGUGGUACGUAAAAAUCGGAGUUCGUAUGCGAAAGUUAUAAGCAAAAUAUGAAAGUUACUGUUUAUGGUAGAUUGGUAUAAAUUUGAAAUGUUACUGUAGCCAGGUAACUUUUCUUUCUUUUCUCUCUCCUUCCCCCGUGCUCUCUCAGUCUCUCUCUUCUGCAACUCUCUCUUUCUCUCUUCUGCAACCUCCUCUUUCACCACCUCUAGACCACCAAAUGGCGAGCUGCGAGCAUCGAUAGACUCGUCUCUUCCUCCUUAUCACGCAUGUGGGAGUUGUUUACGACGAUUUGGCCGGAAAUGUGGAGAUCGAAGCCAACAUUUUUACUGUAGCAAAUUAGUCAACGCCGAUUUCCGGCCACCUCCAGUCAUAAACCCAGGUCCAUUAGAAGCGCCUUAAGCCGCUCUUCAUGCUCGCCAAGUCUCAUAACCCAGAUCGAAGCAUGGAGGAAGAAAGCAUAAUUGGAAAAUUUCACUGUACAUCGGAGUGCUUAAUUGUUCGGCUACUUCAAGGUGAUUGACGGUUUGAGUUGGUGGACGAUUGUGGAUCGUAUUUUGAGCUGAAUUGAAGACGCAGCGGGAUUAUCGAGCGGGUAAUCCUACAGGACAGGAGAACCAGGACGGUGAUCGUGCGGUUAGAGCAAUUGUUAGAGUUUUACAACAAUUGUAAGUUGUGAGGUGUGUUAUGCUCAUUUGAGCUUUAUAAUAUAUUGUGAGAGUGAAUUGUAAUAAUGAACUCGAAGUUUCGAGAUUUGGUUUUUUGUAAUUGUAAUUAUUCAGGUUUCGGAUUUGAAUUUAUUAUUCAAAAUUCGGGGCGUGACAGUUUGGUAUCAGAGCGUAAGGUGCAUAUUUGGUGAUGUGUCAAUACCUUCCGAGUGAUGGCCCGUCUGCAGCGGAUCCCCAUCGUGUGCUCUUCGGUAUUGGCUAAGUCAUUGGGUAUGCGUGAGUGUUGGGAGUUGUUUAGGCCGCUAGGUCGUUUAGGGAACGUGAAUACCUUCCCUAUAGUAUUGACUUGGUUAAUAUGAAUUUGUAUUUGACUUAUACUGUGUUUUAAGUGUUAUACAUGUAUUAGCCAAGCAUACUAUACUCCUUAGGUGAUGGAUAUUCGAAGGGGUUGUACUUAGAACCUUACAGUUGUCUUGUAGGUUCGUAUGGGAAUAAGUUCAGUGGCCGCGAGUUACAAUCCUUGAGGAAUAGGAACCUCUUGAUUCAACUCUGUUAAGUCAACGAGGAUUGUUUUAUGGAAAUGAGGUUCUUUUGAUUGUUGAAGUGUUUGGUUGAAGGCAUGGUGUGGACCUAUGCUCGUCUGUAAUGUGGAUACGAGUAUUAAUCGAUGGUAAUUUUGCCUUUUUAAGUUGAAUAUACUAAUGUUCUUGAAUAGAUUCUUGACUCAUGUGGAGUUGUGAGUAGUGUUGCGGUUAGGGAAGGAAUUAUUGCGGUUACUUCUUCCUUGUGCUUGUAAGUUGUUAAGCAGGGUUUAAGGUGCGAGACAAGAAUUUUAUUUUGUGCUCGAUGGUUAGAGAUGAGAGACCAUUGUUUUGGGUUGUCGUUGAGUACUAUAAUUCCUUCAGAAUCAAGAUUGUUGGUAGAAUUGGAAUUAGUAGUAGUUUUGGUGAUUCUGAAUUUGAAUUGAGUUCGCGAGAUGUGUCUUAUA